rnacentral:snoRNA from 14 species
ACGCGCUGUCUUUGAGCCCCCGGUAAACCUUCUUGUGGUGCUGGGGGUUAAGCUUCAGUGCUAUAGCAUUUUGCUGGCGCAUAACUGGGGCCGCCUGCCUAUCGCGGCUAAGGCUAAGGCCGCCCUUUUAACCACUAGCUACAGGC